rnacentral:rRNA from 1 species
AGCGUUGUCCGGAAUUAUUGGGCGUAAAGAGCUCGUAGGCGGUUUGUUGCGUCGGCUGUGAAAACCUGAGGCUCAACCUCAGGCCUGCAGUCGAUACGAGCAGACUAGAGUGUUGCAGGGGAGACUGGAAUUCCUGGUGUAGCGGUGAAAUGCGCAGAUAUCAGGAGGAACACCGGUGGCGAAGGCGGGUCUCUGGGCAACAACUGACGCUGAGGAGCGAAAGCGUGGGGAGCGAACAGG